GUAGAGUUCUUUUAACUACACCGAGUAUUAAUGAACAUAUAUUCAGAGAGCGAUAGAAGGAAGAGCAAGAAAAACAGCUGUUGGAGAAAACAAAUGAUGAAUAGGAAGAAAAGUGGAUGAUGCCCCCUUUGAAUAGACUCUACUCAGAAGGGCCAGUAAAAUUCUCAAAGUAAAGAGUAACCAAUAUUGUGGCUCUCGAAUUCUUCAAGACGUUCUUGAAGCCCUUGUGCUCAAAUGCAAUUUCUACAAUGGUAAGUGAGGUUUGUGAAUUACUUGCAAAUCCAGUUGAAGUUGUUGAAUCUUUUUUUUUUUCUGUAGUAGUCAUUCUUUCUCUCUUUUUCCACUCUCUUUUUGCUUCUCGUCUCUUCCAAAAGUAAAUUCAUUUUAAAGUUGUUUUCCCAGUUAUGCAGUGGGGAGAAUGAAUCCUAAGACACUAAUGAGUUUAAACCUGCUCUCUACAUUUUUACUGGGCUCACUGCAAAGCCCAUUUACAGCAAAGGAGACUUUACAUCAACUAUAACACAGGUCAGGCGGGGUAAGUAUGUUGCAAUUGAGAAAAAUUCUCAUCAUCCCUCCUCCUUUCAUCUCACUCUUCAGUCUCUCUACUUUUCAGUCUGAAUGCUUUUUACUUCACUUUGUGUCCAUUCUGUCUCCUCCUCCUCAGUAGAGCUGAGGUUCAAGCUGAACUUUAACAAGUAAAAUUUGACUGGGUUAAUAUAUUAACUACAAUAAGUGCAUUUAUCUCUUACUAUAUCUUUAAAGUGGAAAUCUUAGUAACAUCUUUUAAAGUGAAUUUAACACUUCUAUAACUUCACAGGUUCAUAAGAAAAAGAGAAGAAAAACACCUAGAAGCUUGCCCUUGCAGGAUUCACUUAGUUAUUUUAUUUUUGCCUUUCACUAGAAUGUCAGUUAAAGAAUUACGUACGGAAGUGUGAGAUGUCGAUCUUGUCAGUAAAAUCUCACAAUUUCUGUGUGCAGCAGAGCAUGAUUUUGGAUAUCAUCAGCAAAGAAUGUGAGCUUCUCCCAAGAGUGACCAUGGAUGAGAAAGUCCUGCAGAACCAGUGUGUACGUGCUGCUUCUUUUCCCAGAGAUCUGUCACUUUUCUGCAUUGGCAGUUGCAGUUUCAUUAUGAAAAUACAUAGACAGUACCCCAAGAUGGAUAUCUGAAGAAACUGCAGAGAAUGCAGGCAAGUAAAUGAAAAAAGUGCUAGAAAAGUUUUGGUGAUUUGA
rnacentral:lncRNA from 1 species